rnacentral:tRNA from 1 species
GCCUCCGUGGCUCAGUGGUAAGAGCAUCAGUCUUGUAAACUGAAGGUCGCCGGUUCGACCCCGGCCGGAGGCU